UGCAGUUUAAAGUUGUCUUUUGCCUA
rnacentral:piRNA from 1 species